rnacentral:rRNA from 1 species
GGCUUAGAGUUUGAUCAUGGCUCAGGACGAACGCUGGCGGCGUGCCUAACACAUGCAAGUCGAACGAAGCUCGAAGCUUUGAGAUUUCGGUCAAGAAGCCUAGAUGACUUAGUGGCGAACGGGUGAGUAAUGCGUGAGCAACCUGCCUUUCAGAGGGGGACAACAGCUGGAAACGGCUGCUAAUACCGCAUAAUAUAUUUCCUAGGCAUCUGGGGGAUAUCAAAGGAGCGAUCCGCUGAAAGAUGGGCUCACGUCUGAUUAGCUAGUUGGUGAGGUAACGGCUCACCAAGGCGACGAUCAGUAGCCGGUCUGAGAGGAUGAACGGCCACAUUGGGACUGAGAUACGGCCCAGACUCCUACGGGAGGCAGCAGUGGGGAAUAUUGGGCAAUGGGCGAAAGCCUGACCCAGCAACGCCGCGUGAAGGAAGAAGGCUUUCGGGUUGUAAACUUCUUUUAUCAAGGACGAAGUGAGUGACGGUACCUGAUGAAUAAGCUCCGGCUAACUACGUGCCAGCAGCCGCGGUAAUACGUAGGGAGCAAGCGUUGUCCGGAUUUACUGGGUGUAAAGGGCGCGUAGGCGGGGAAGCAAGUCAGGUGUGAAAUCUAUGGGCUCAACCCAUAAACUGCACUUGAAACUGUUUUUCUUGAGUGAUGGAGAGGCAAGCG